AGAACAUCUGGUCACUUUCGCAAACAGAAUCCUUGGACUGUGACAGUGUUGGGAUGCCUGGGAGACACAAAUGUCACACAAUCUGGCUGCUCUUCUGAAGAAGCUAAAGCAUAUUCCUGUCCAGACACCGAAGAAGCAAGAUGUGACCUGCCCCGCUGAAAAAGAAAGAGACAGGUUGGCUCCUAGCAGCAACACUCUACUUCCUCCAAAGAAGACAGAAGACAAAUGGACACACAACAACGUCCAUCUGCACUGGGCAAAACUGCCUUUCAUCUAAGCUGAAGAUCUCCUGACGUGGACAGAAUCACUGGAAUCGACAGCCUAGCUGCUCAGGUCAAGGCAUAAGAGACUCCAGACAUUUCCAUGCCACAAACACCGGACAGGAGCAAAGAGACCAGCUAUGCCAGGAUGUGGCCAACACCCAGUCUUCUCAGGUCUCCCCCCAAAGACGAUACCCACAAAUAAGCCGGAAGCAGUCUUGAGAAUUUGCCGCCCCAAUUCAGUCCAACCUGUGGGUGUCCUAAUCUCCCCACUUUUUAUUAUAAAAAAGAGCUGGGAAUGUUAUGAUUGUUCGUCACUUUAAGUGACAAGCCAUGCACACUCCCUGCAGCCCCUCCUCCGUCGCCAUCUUGAUUUCUUGUCCUGUUCCUUCCCCACUCCCCUCCUUUCCUCUCUCGCUCUGUCCUUUUCUCUCUUCCUCUUUCUCUCCCUUCCCCCAUUCUUCCCGCUUUCCUUCCCAUUCCAUAAUUUAACUAAUAAAAUCCAAUUCUAUUCUGUA